UACGAAGGGGGCUAGCGUUGCUCGGAAUGACUGGGCGUAAAGGGCGCGUAGGCGGAUGGCACAGUCAGAUGUGAAAUUCCCGGGCUUAACCUGGGGGCUGCAUUUGAUACGUGUGAUCUAGAGUGAGGAAGAGGGUCGUGGAAUUCCCAGUGUAGAGGUGAAAUUCGUAGAUAUUGGGAAGAACACCGGUGGCGAAGGCGGCGACCUGGUCCUUGACUGACGCUGAGGCGCGAAGGCGUGGGGAGCAAACAGG
rnacentral:rRNA from 1 species